rnacentral:rRNA from 1 species
CGGACGGGUGAGUAACGCGUGGGUAACCUGCCUCAUACAGGGGGAUAACAGUUAGAAAUGACUGCUAAUACCGCAUAAGCGCACAGUGCUGCAUGGCUCAGUGUGAAAAACUCCGGUGGUAUAAGAUGGACCCGCGUUGGAUUAGCUUGUUGGUGGGGUAACGGCCUACCAAGCCGACGAUCAGUAGCCGACCUGAGAGGGUGACCGGCCACAUUGGGACUGAGACACGGCCCAAACUCCUACGGGAGGCAGCAUG